rnacentral:rRNA from 1 species
UAAUUUGCCCUUAGGGUGGAGGAUACCUCGGGAAACUGAGAAUAAUACUCCAUAGAUCUAGUCUGCUGGAAUGCUUUUAGAUCGAAAGAUUUAUCGCCUAAGGAUAAGUCUGCGGACUAUCAGGUUGUAGUCAGGGUAAAGACCUGACUAGCCUACGACGGAUACGGGUAGUGAGAGCUUUAGCCCGGAGAUGAUAUCUGAGACACGAUAUCAGGCCCUACGGGGCGCAGCAGGCGCGAAAACUUCGCACUGUGCGAAAGCACGACGAGGGAAUCCCAAGUGCUGGCUCGUAAGAGUCAGCUGUUUCUCUGUCUAAAACGCAGAGAGAGUAAGAGUUGGGUAAGACGGGUGCCAGCCGCCGCGGUAAUACCUGCAGCUCAAGUGGUGGCCGCUAUUAUUGGGCCUAAAACGUCCGUAGCCGGUUCUAUAAAUGCCUGGGUAAAUUGUACGGCUUAACCGUACGAAUUCCGGGUAGACUGUUCAACUUGGGACCGGAAGAGGCUAGAGGUACUCCUGGGGUAGAGGUUGAAAUUCUGUAAUCCUAGGGGGACGACCAGUGGCGAAGGCGUCUAGCUAGUACGGGUCUGACGGUGAGGGACGAAGCCCUGGGGCGCAAACGGGAUUAGAUACCCCGGUAGUCCAGGGUGUAAACGCUGCUUGCUUGAUGUUAGUCGGGCUCCGAGCCCAACUAGUGUCGGAGAGAAGUUGUUAAGCAAGCUGCCUGGGGAGUACGGCCGCAAGACUGAAACUUAA